AGACAACAAACUAGAUACAGACACAUAAACAGAUAGAGAAAUAGCCAGAUACAUAUACAGGCAAAGUGAGAAACAGAAGUUUUACAAAACAUAUUUACAGCUAGCUAGCUAUGUGACAGAUAAACUAAACAAAAGUUGCCCAAAACAACAUUUCUUCCAAAUGUGGGUGUUUAAAUCUGAUAUUUUCUAUUUUAUAAUAUUCCGCUUCAUUGUUUUAAAAUGCUAGUUGUACUCAGUUGAUUUCAUGAACCUCCAGCAGGUCGUGACCAUAGUGUGAAAACACUGGUAUUGAAACCCCUAGUGGUACUCAGUUGAUUUCAUGAAUCUCCAGCAGGUCAUGACCAUAGUGUGAAAACACUGGUGUUGAAACCCUAACCAAGAGUGCACAGCCAGUGUGCAGCAGAAUGAGCCUCCAGUCACCAGCCCAGAGCUCUCAGACAGAAUUGAGUUCCCAUACAGUAGGACUUUCCACUCAUGUCUGCGGUCUAGGAGGAGAUUGGGUUGAGCAGCCACCAGGCACGAUGGAGCAACAAUUAACCCUGGAGUUGUGGAGGCAGGACCACAAGCCGAGAGAGGGCAGCAGUGGAAACCCAGCCAAACUAUUAAUGGAAGGCUGGGUCCCAUUCUUUAUUAUCCUUCUGUGGUCUCAUCACCAGCGGGGUGAGCCAAAGCCGAGGGCAAGAACACGCUGGGUGACCUUCCACACCCCAAAUGCAAGAUCAAGUGCUGUGGAGAAGGUGGUGGAGUUUUGCUCUUGCUGCCCCAGCUAGAGUGCAAUGGCGUGAUCUUGGCUCACUGCAACCCCAGCCUCCCUGGUUCAAGCGAUCCUGCCUCAGCCUCCUGACGAGCUGUGAUUACAGGCACUCACCUCCCUGCCCAGCUAAUUUUUUGGAUUUUUAAUAGAAAUGGAGUUUCACCAUAUUGGCCAGGCUGGUCUCCAACUCCUGACCUCAGGUGAUCUGCCCACCUCAGCCUCCCAAAGUACUAAGAAUACAGGCAUGAGCCACCAUGCCUGGCCAACUCAUUGAUAUUUUUAUAGAGAGUAUUUUAAAACUAUAGAUCAUGUUAUGAAAAACUUACAUCUUGACAAUAUUGAGUCUUCUUACCUAUGAACAUGAACUCUCUCUCCAUUUAUUCAGUUAUUUGAUUUCUUUCAUCAGAUUUUAUAUAUUUUUCUCAUAGAUCUUGUUUUGUUAGCUUUAUAUCUAAGUAUUUCAUUUUGGAAAUACUAAUGUAAAUGUUACUAUGCUUUAAAUUUAAAAUUUCAAUUGUUCAUUGCUGGUAUAUAAGGAAGCAAUUGAUUUUUGUAUACUAACUUGAUAUCCUGCAACUUUGCUCUAAUUACUUAUUAAUUCUAGGAGUACCAGUGUCUUUUUAAUGAAAUAUUUAUCAUAUAUUUCUAUUUUAUAAAUUUAGUAGUGCUUUCCUACCUGUUAUCUUCCCCUAUCUACCUCCCCUCUUGCCUCUGCUUUUCUGUUGGUUGUAAUAUUCCUAUAAUCUUAUCAGGUGGAUCCCACUGACUUUCUGUUCUUUCCCCUCACAUAUCUCUUUCUUGGAUUUUUUUUUUUUUUUUUUUUUUGGUUAACUUUAUAAAUUAAAACCAAUACAUGUACUUACCUUGUUAUAAAACAUCUCCUUACAUGUAUUCUUGAGGCUCGCUGAUUUCCUCCUACACUCAGUUGGACAUGCUGUAAAGUUACCAUCUUGACUUGUGUUUUUGUACAAUGGCACCCUAGAGUGGAUCUUUUUCUCUUCUACGUUAUCUCUUUUUUUCUCUAUGAUUCACUUAUUUGGUUAGAGUGUAUUUUCCAGAAACUUUUCAAGAUGGGAGAUUUUGGAGGUAAAAUUUUGUGUCUUUGAAAGUAAAAACAAAAUAAACCAAAGGUAAAAAAGCAUUAUUAUAUCUUCACACUUGAGUUAUUUCUACAAAACACUUAGAAGAC
rnacentral:lncRNA from 1 species